CUUAGAGCAUGGUCCUUGACUUCACUCAGCUGCAAAGAUGAAUAACCAAGGAGCAACCUAUGUAGAUAUGAAGGCAGUCAAGAGCUCAAAGAGACAACAAAGGAAACCUAAGAUUUCUAAAAGUUCCAGUUCAAUAACUGAGCAGGAAUUAACAUAUGCAGAACUAAGUUUUGAAAAUGCUCCUCAGAAUCUUCAUGAGAAUGACAAGAACUACCACUCCAAAGGUUCACCAUCACCUUCAGAAAAGUUCAUUGCUGGGAUCCUGGGAAUCAUCUGCCUUGCCUUGAUGUCCACUGUUGUGACAAUGCUCGUUGUUACUCCCUCUACUGUAAUACGGGAGCACAAUAACUCCUCUCCGAUAGCAAGACUCCAGAAAGAAUUUCAUUGUGAUUGUUGUCCAAAGGAGUGGUUUACAUAUUCCAACAAUUGCUAUUCUCUUAGUUUGGAAAAAGAAACAUUGAAUGGGAGUUUGAUGUCCUGCACUACUAAGAAUUCUACUCUGCUUUACAUAGACAGUGAAGAGGAAAUGAAAUUUCUGAUGUCCCUGCCAACUAGAUCAUGGAUUCCAGUCUUUCGUGAAGGUCGUGGUCAUGCAUGGAAGUGGCAAAAUGGUUCAAUUUUCAAACUAAAGAUAACAGACCAUACACCUGGUGAACGUAACUGUGCUGUACUAUCCUCAAGGGGCAUAAAAGCAGAAAGCUGUCAGAUUCCAAACACAUAUAAUUGCAAGCAUAAGCUUGAGAAUUAA
rnacentral:lncRNA from 1 species